rnacentral:lncRNA from 1 species
CAAUAAACAAGUCGACCUAAGUUGAGUGGAGUCGACCUUUAGAACAGCACAAGGAUAAAUAGUAAAGCAAUAAAAUUUUGGGUCUAAAAAGUUGAUCUCAUGUACAGAUAAAUCAGAUCUAACACUCUAAGAGUUAAGCCUAGCGUGAAGGAGUCGACUGACAUAAUCUAGGAAUCAAGUCCCAUCAAGCAGGGGUUGACCUUAAAACUACCAUAGGGUAAAUAGAAAAGGUUGAAAUUUUAGCACUUUAGAAGUUGAUCCAUAUAGGUCAAGAGUCGCCGCUUUAAGUUAAGAGUCAACUCUAACAAGCUAAGAGUCAACCUUGGGA